GUGUCAGCAGCCGCGGUAACACGGGGGGAGCAAGCGUUGUUCGGAUUCAUUGGGCGUAAAGAGCUCGUAGGCCGCUCUGUAAGUCGGAAGUGAAAGACCACGGCUCAACCGUGGAAACGCUUUCGAAACUGCGGAGCUUGAGGCCGGGAGAGGAGAUCGGAAUUCCUGGUGUAGCGGUGAAAUGCGUAGAUAUCAGGAGGAACACCCGUGGCGAAGGCGGAUCUCUGGACCGGUUCUGACGCUGAGGAGCGAAAGCUAGGGGAGCAAACAGGAUUAGAUACCCUGGUAGUCCUAGCUGUAAACGAUGGGCACUAGGUGUGGGGGGAUCGACCCCUUCCGUGCCGCAGUUAACGCAUUAAGUGCCCCGCCUGGGGAGUACGACCGCAAGGUUGAA
rnacentral:rRNA from 1 species